rnacentral:rRNA from 1 species
UACGUAGGGUGCAAGCGUUAAUCGGAAUUACUGGGCGUAAAGCGUGCGUAGACGGCUAUCUAAGUCGGGCGUGAAAGCCCCGGGCUCAACCUGGGAAUUGCAUUCGAGACUGAAUAGCUAGGGUACGGUAGAGGGAAGUGGAAUUUCCGGUGUAGCGGUGAAAUGCGUAGAUAUCGGAAGGAACAUCAGUGGCGAAAGCGACUUCCUGGACCAGUACCGACGUUCAGGCACGAAAGCGUGGGGAGCAAACAGG